rnacentral:lncRNA from 1 species
CUGCAAUCACUAUUGAUAUUAAAAUUAUCAUAAAAAAUUAUUUUUAGAAUUUCCAUACUUUGAUUAGAGUACCUCUGCAGAUUCACAUAAUUUGCAGCAUGUCUGAAGUCCAAAAUCAAUUCUUUUCAUGAAGAUUUUGAUUAUAUAAUUCAAUUUGGUUGAACACAAAUGUUUACAUUUUCACAUUCUCAAACAUUUAUGAAAACAAUGUUAGUUUAAAAUGAAUAAAAACAGUAUAGGAAAUAUAUAGAGUUCAGAUUGAUUAUCCUUUCUGUGAGAAAAUAAAGCAAAUUUUGCAUAGACUAGAACAUUAUGCUAACAUCAUUUUUAUACUGUGAUAAAAUCAGGAGGGCGUCAUAGAAAAGUAGUCUAUUUCCUAAGGAUUGCCUUUGACUAGAAAUAUUGUUUGAGGGUGAAACCGGCAAACAGCCAUUGAUGAUUAAGCAUCUAGGUACUCAAGUUUUUUCCUUUUUGCAGUUACUGAUUACAGGUUUUAGCUGUGUAGCCCACCCAUUGUUAACUGUGCUGCUUAGGCAAUCUGCUACCUGACUCCCCCCAGGCUCCUACAGAUAACAUCUCCCUGGAGCCUGGGUCACCAUGGUAAUGGGUGUGUGAGCUGUUUUUCAGGAAUUAGAACUCCUUGUCCACUUCAGGCCAGUUGAGGCCACCAACCCCUCAACUGGGCCCACACAGAUAUCUGAUAGGCGACCUUUUGACAUCAAGAAGCUAAAAACUCCACCCUCUGAUCAUGCUAACACCACCAUUUUGUGAACAUGGGUCCUAUGAAGAGGCAUGGAGUCUGACUAUGCUUGCGCAGAUCAUGGAUUACCUCACCUCUCCUCACCUCCAAUCACCUCUCUCCACAUUUCAGACCACCUUGCCCCCAUCCCAUAAAUAUCCCUGAGUCCCUAUUUUUGGGGAAGCCAAUUUGGGGCUCAUGCUCUGGCUUCCUCACAUGGCUGCCUUGGAAGUAAACUCUCUCUCUGCUGCGAUGUCAUCGUCUUGGUGUUUGGCUUUCUGGGCGGCGGGCAAAAACGAACCUGGUUCAGUAACAAAUGGCGAGCCAGCCAGGAGCUAAGUGCAGAUGGACCUUUUUGCCCGAGAUUCGUGAGCCCCUUUCCAGUAUGGAGGACCUGUGGGUGCGUCCAGCAGCUGCCGGGUGCAUUUCUCCUGGGACUGUUCUGGGACUCUUUCCUGGCUUGGCGCUGCCGACUGCUUGGUGCAUAGUUUCACUUUCAGUAGAGAGACAGCUUCUUGGUUUGGAAGAUGUCUUUUUGAAUGGACAUGCCCUCAGAGUCAGCACUGGACGUGAUGCAGACACGCAGCCUUUAUUCUACAUUUACUGGUCGAAUAAGCUGAUGCAAUCUCUGUCACCAAACUGAAAUACUUCUUAUUAAAUACCUGGUUACUUGCUAACACAAUAUGGGCUGAACUUUGGGAGCCCACCUGCAUCACCGUCUCACUAAGGGACUGGUCCAAUGAGAUGGAACAACCUAUGCUCCUCACCAACAGGAUAACCCCUCAAGAUUGAAGAUGAACAACAAAAGGGGGGAUUGAUACGGGUUAACACAAGGUUAACAUAAGGGAAGCCAUAUUGUAAAGAAGAAACCAUAUUGUAACUUUGAAUGACCUCUGAUUAACUAACCCAGACAUGCUCUGUAGAUUUUAUGGACCCUGUCAGCUGCUAUAAUUUGAUAAGUUUGUUCUUUUGAGUUCCUUAGGAAUGUGAUGACCCCCAGGUAGAGAGUCUGUGCUGAUGGCCAUCAUCAUUGACAACUGAAAGAUCAGGGUAUAGGCCAUUGCUCUGGUCUCUGAUGCAUCUCCAGUAAAACAAAAGACUAUCAGAAACUGAGACCAGAUGUCUUCCCCACCUGGAGAACAGAUGGAGGCCCCACUGGGAUUAGGUCUAUUUUUCAGGGACUGUUAAAAUUUGGGUUGUCUAUACUUCUUGUCCUUCUGAUAAGCCAGGAACAUGAGAAUAUUUCCAAAUGAGUGCUAAAAAUGUCAUUCCUUUAACCCAGAUCUAUGCCCCAAUUGAGCAGGAAGUAGCUAGAUCGGUCAUCGCCCCAAAUCCCUCAAGAAUGAGAAGUGACCAAACAAUAGGGGGGAUUGAAACCAGCAAACAGCCAUUGAUGAUUAAGUAUCUAGGUACUAAAGUUUUUUCCUCUUUGCAGUUACUGAUUAUAGCUUUUAGCUGUUGAACCCAGCCAUUGGUAACUGUGCUGUUUAGGCAAUCUGCUACCUGACUCCCACCAGGGUCCUAUAGAUAACAUCUCCCUGGAGCCUGGGUCACCAUGGUAAUGGGGUGUGUGAGCUGUUUUUCAGGAAUUAGAACUCCUUGUCCACUUCAGGCCAGUUGAGGCCACCAACCUCUCAACGGGGCUCAAGCAGAUGUCUGAUAGGCAACCUUUCGACAUCAAGAGGCUAAAAACUCCACCCUCUGAUCAUGCUAAUACCGCCAUUUUGUGAACAUGGGUCCUAUGAAG